rnacentral:rRNA from 1 species
UACGGGGGGGCAAGCGUUGUUCGGAAUUACUGGGCGUAAAGGGCUCGUAGGCGGCCAACUAAGUCAGACGUGAAAUCCCUCAGCUUAACUGGGGAACUGCGUCUGAGACUGGAUGGCUUGAGUGCAGGAGAGGAACGCGGAAUUCCAGGUGUAGCGGUGAAAUGCGUAGAUAUCUGGAGGAACACCGGUGGCGAAGGCGGCGUUCUGGACUGCUACUGACACUGAGGAACGAGAGCCAGGGGAGCAAACGGG